rnacentral:rRNA from 1 species
GACAGAGGGUGCGACCGUUGUUCGGAAUUACUGGGCGUAAAGCGCGUGUAGGCGGCAGCGCAAGUCGGGCGUGAAAUCCCACGGCUCAACCGUGGAAGUGCACUCGAAACUGCGCAGCUAGAGUCCUGGAGAGGAAGGUGGAAUGCUUGGUGUAGAGGUGAAAUUCGUAGAUAUCAAGCGGAACACCGGUGGCGAAGGCGACCUUCUGGACAGUGACUGACGCUGAGACGCGAAAGCGUGGGGAGCAAACAGG